AAUAAAGAUUUCUAUCAGAGCAAAUUAUCUCUCUCUCUAACCACGUCCUAACCUAGCAGUCAUAUAUAGCCUUUAAUUAAUCCUGCAUUUUUGUCAAAGACAUUUGUCACCAUGAAAUUAAAAGUUUAAAACAGCAACACGUGAGCAGAUUCACUGAGUAAUCAGAAAAGUUUAGCAUGAAUCUGGACACUAGAUUUAAGCUUGAAGUUUUAAUCAAAUAUCACUUGGUAGAAGCUCCUUACCGUUUGAAGAAAUCUCUUCUCAAUCUGCUGUCCUCUUGCUUGCAUCUUGUAUUUUUUCCAUCUGAGACUGACGUUAUUCCAUCUUAAUUAUUUUUCUCCGUGAAAAACACAGCAGCUCAUCUCAUCCCGGGGCGCCAGCGCCUCGAGCUCCGGGUCUCAGCAGAAAAGUGCCGAUAAACGUUGCAGGCUGAUCCAGGUUCUAGUAUGUGACGUCACAGCUGGAACACUGUUACGCCUCUGCGUAACCAUGGUUACAGGGGACGCUUUGGAGCUCAGCAGCAAAAGAUUUCAGGUUAAACUCUAAAACCAAAUAAAAUCAAUAUACUGUACAUGUGUGUAGUGUAAGCGUUCAUUUUCUGGAAGAGGCUGUAAAACAGAGUUAAAAGGUGGCCGAUGGCAGCCGUACUGAGUCAGCUGGGGAGUAAACUGUGGCGGUUCUCAGAGGUAGCUCAUGUGAGCCAGCAGUGACAUCUGUACAUGCAGUAGCCUUAAAAUGCUGAUUAUUUAUUCUCCUGCUAGAACAGGAGGCGAGAGCAGAGAACAAGAGUGCAGCAGUUUGGUGGAAGGUGAAGAAGAGGUGAGCAUCCAAAAGACGAGCAAGAGGACAGUUUCAUAGGAGACAUCACAGCACAAUAAAAGCUAGAAACUCACCUGAUGUAGUGGUAAGGUCAUGUUCACCACUAGAUGGAGACAACCUGGCACAGAGAAAGACUGGACUCAAAAAAUGAUCUUUAUUUUUACAUUUGUGGAAAUGGAGACCCGCCACACGAACACACAAGCUCAGCUCUGAAUUCUUUGCCAGCUGCAUAUAUAUUUCUGCACUGCGUCACACCGACACACAGUUUACUUUUUGUCUGGUUUCCUGUAUUUUAUACGCCUGUGCAGCUCUGCACUAAAACUUCCUGUUCUCUGCAGCAGCAUGCAGUUUCCUGUCAGUACUCUGUGACAUUGUGCUCAAACUGGUGUUCUCCCAGUCUGGCCUCAUUAAAACAAAAUAAACAGAAAAUAAGCAUUAAGAAUAUAUAUUUAUUUCAUAACAAUACACAUGGAAACUUCACACAGACAAACACACACA